rfam:Shewanella loihica PV-4, complete genome.
AAUGAACACCCAAGCUUUUUUUACUUUCUUUUUUAUUCCACCCUUCUAGGGAGGCGGAAUUUCGGUGUAAAAACGAAAGUAAAAAUUCCAAGGCCUCCCAUUAUGGGGGGCUUUUUUAUU